rnacentral:rRNA from 1 species
GACGAACGCUGGCGGCGUGCUUAACACAUGCAAGUCGAACGGAAAGGCCCUGCUUGCAGGGUACUCGAGUGGCGAACGGGUGAGUAACACGUGGGUGAUCUGCCCUGCACUUCGGGAUAAGCCUGGGAAACUGGGUCUAAUACCGGAUAGGAGCCAUUUUUAGUGUGAUGGUUGGAAAGUUUUUUCGGUGUAGGAUGAGCUCGCGGCCUAUCAGCUUGUUGGUGGGGUAAUGGCCUACCAAGGCGGCGACGGGUAGCCGGCCUGAGAGGGUGGACGGCCACAUUGGGACUGAGAUACGGCCCAGACUCCUACGGGAGGCAGCGGUGGGGAAUAUUGGACAAUGGGCGCAAGCCUGAUGCAGCGACGCCGCGUGGGGGAUGACGGCCUUCGGGUUGUAAACUCCUUUCGCUAGGGACGAAGCUUUUUGUGACGGUACCUAGAUAAGAAGCACCGGCUAACUACGUG